GGCCUCAGGUGAUCCACCCACCUCAGCCUCCCAAAGUGCUGGGAUCACAGGUGUGAGCCACUGCGCCCAGCUGAAUUCUGGCUGUUUUGAUUAGGGAUGCUGAACCUAUACAAUGGGUGUCACAAAACACAAACUCGAGAAGAUACCUGGAAGGGCUCCCAUGAGCUCUGGGACAGACCAGGUCACGGGCGUCUCAAAACAUUCAGAAAAUCAUCAUCAAGAGAACCUCUGGGCACAGACAGAAAAGUCUAGAAUGAAAGUCUUUCACGGUUAAAUGUUUGAUAAAUUAGAAGAGCAGUGAAACCACAGAGUCGGUGAAUGAGCAGCAGCCAGGCAGGGCAGGCCCUGGAGUUGAGUGGCAGCUGGGCAGAGCGGGCCCUGGAGGUGAGUAGCAGCUGGGUAUGCCCGGGAGGGCCCUGGAGGUGAGUGGCAAUUGGGGGGGAGGGGGGCCUGGAGGCGGGGCAGGCCCUGGAGGUGAAUAGCAGCUGGGUAUGCCCGGGCAGGCCCUGGAGGUGAGUGGCAGCGGGCAGGGUGGGCCCAGGAGGUGAGAGGCAGCCAGGCAGGGCAGGCCCUGGAGGUGAGUGGCAGCAGGUUAGGACGGGCCCUGGAGGUGAGUGGCAGCGGGCAGGGUGGGCCCUGGAGGUGAGUGGCAGCCAGGCAGGGCGGGCCCUGGAGGUGAGUGGCAGUCAGUUACUGCGGGCCCUGGAGGUGAGUGGCAGCCGGGCAGGGCGGGCCCUGGAGGUGAGUGGCAGCCAGUUACUGCAGGCCCUGGAGGUGAGUGGCAGCAGGGCAGGGUGGGCCCUGGAGGUGAGUGGCAGCCAGGCAGGGCGGGCCCUGGAGGUGAGCGGUGGCAUGAACAUGUCCAGGAAUGAAGGCACCACAUUCCUGACAUGGAGAGGUGACACGCCAGGCUUCUGGUGCUCUGCAAAGAAACUAGUCUUCCGAUGCAGUUCCAAUUAAAAUCUGCAAAGUGCUUAAAAAAAAAAAAAAAAAAGAA
rnacentral:lncRNA from 1 species